AUGAACGCUGACAGAAUGCUUAACCCAUGCAAGUCAACUUGAACUUCGGUUUGGGUGGCGGACGGGUGAGUAACGCGUAACGAACUUGCCUCACAGCUAGGGACAACAUUUGGAAACGAAUGCUAAUACCUGAUAUUAUGAUUUUAGGGCAUCCUAGAAUUAUGAAAGCUAUAUGCGCUGUGAGAGAGCUUUGCGUCCCAUUAGCUAGUUGGAGAGGUAACGGCUCACCAAGGCGAUGAUGGGUAGCCGGCCUGAGAGGGUGAACGGCCACAAGGGGACUGAGACACGGCCCUUACUCCUACGGGAGGCAGCAGUGGGGAAUAUUGGACAAUGGACCAAGAGUCUGAUCCAGCAAUUCUGUGUGCACGAUGAAGUUUUUCGGAAUGUAAAGUGCUUUCAGUUGGGAAGAAAAAAAUGACGGUACCAACAGAAGAAGUGACGGCUAAAUACGUG
rnacentral:rRNA from 1 species